rnacentral:rRNA from 1 species
CCCUUAGAUGUCCUGGGCCGCACGAGCGUUACACUGAUGCAUUCAACGAGCUUAUAACCUUGGCCGAGAGGCCUGGGCAAUCUUGUUAACGUGCAUCGUGAUAGGGAUAGAUUAUUGAAAUUAUUAAUCUUGAACGAGGAAUUCCUAGUAAACGCAGAUCAUCAAUCUGCAUUGAUUACGUCCCUGCCCUUUGUACACACCGCCCGUCGCACCUACCGAUUGGAUGGUCCGGUGAAGCCUCGGGAUUGUGGUUCUUGCCGCUUUAUUGUGGCGUGACCGCGAGAACUUGUCUAAACCUUAUCAUCUAGAGGAAGGUGAAGUCGUAACA